UGGGGGAUAUUGCACAAUGGGCGAAAGCCUGAUGCAGCGACGCCGCGUGGGGGAUGAAGGCUUUCGGGUUGUAAACCUCUUUCGCUAUCGAACAAGGCCCGCUUAGGGUGGGUUGAGGGUAGGUGGAGAAGAAGCGCCGGCUAACUACGUGUCAGCAGCCGCGGUAAUACGUAGGGCGCGAGUGUUGUCCGGAAUUAUUGGGCGUAAAGGGCUUGUAGGCGGCUUGUUGCGCCUGCUGUGAAAACGCGGGGCUUAACUUCGCGCGUGCAGUGGGUACGGGCAGGCUUGAGUGGGGUAGGGGUGACUGGAAUUCCAGGUGUAGCGGUGGAAUGCGCAGAUAUCUGGAGGAACACCGAUGGCGAAGGCAGGUCACUGGGCCAUUACUGACGCUGAGGAGCGAAAGCAUGGGUAGCGAACAGG
rnacentral:rRNA from 1 species